rnacentral:lncRNA from 1 species
CAGAUUGCAGUAUCCGGGAUCCAGUUAGGAACCUUCACCCCCCCAAGGAUGAAGGACCCAAGGGUCCUAGUGCCACCAAUCUCAUAAUAGGCUCCAUCGCUGGUGCCAUCCUGGUAGCAGCUAUUGUCCUUGGGGGCACAGGCUGGGGAUUUAAAAAUGUCAAGAAGAGAAGGUUCGAUCCUACUCAGCAAGGCCCCAUCUGAAUCAGCUGCGCUGGAUGGACACCGCCUUGCACUGUUGGAUUCUGGGUAUGACAUACUCGCAGCAGUGUUACUGGAACUAUUAAGUUUGUAAACAAAACCUUUGGGUGGUAAUGACUACGGAGCUAAAGUUGGGGUGACAAGGAUGGGGUAAAAGAAAACUGUCUCUUUUGGAAAUAAUGUCAAAGAACACCUUUCACCACCUGUCAGUAAACGGGGGAGGGGGCAAAAGACCAUGCUAUAAAAAGAACUGUUCCAGAAUCUUUUUUUUCCCUAAUGGACGAAGGAACAACACACACACAAAAAUUAAAUGCAAUAAAGGAAUCAUU